GGGGUUGUAGCUCAGUGGUAGAGUGCUUGCCUACCAUGUGUGAAGUCCUGGGUUUGAUACCCAGCACCACUU
rnacentral:tRNA from 1 species